GGGGAAUAUUGCACAAUGGGCGAAAGCCUGAUGCAGCAACGCCGCGUGAGUGAUGAAGGUCUUCGGAUUGUAAAGCUCUGUCUUUUGGGACGAUAAUGACGGUACCAAAGGAGGAAGCCACGGCUAACUACGUGCCAGCAGCCGCGGUAAUACGUAGGUGGCGAGCGUUGUCCGGAUUUACUGGGCGUAAAGGGUGCGUAGGCGGAUGUUUAAGUGAGAUGUGAAAUACCCGGGCUUAACUUGGGUGCUGCAUUUCAAACUGGAUAUCUAGAGUGCAGGAGAGGAGAAUGGAAUUCCUAGUGUAGCGGUGAAAUGCGUAGAGAUUAGGAAGAACACCAGUGGCGAAGGCGAUUCUCUGGACUGUAACUGACGCUGAGGCACGAAAGCGUGGGUAGCAAACAGGAUUAGAUACCCUGGUAGUCCACGCCGUAAAACGAUGAGUACUAGGUGUAGGAGGUAUCGACCCCUUCUGUGCCGCAGUAAACACAUUAAGUACUCCGCCUGGGAAGUACGAUCGCAAGAUUAAAACUCUAAAGUGAAUUGAC
rnacentral:rRNA from 1 species